rnacentral:sRNA from 1 species
GGAUUACUCCUUUACGCUUUCGCGUUUGGUUGAUAAAGAUUCGCACCUCUAUCAAACCGGGUAAUCCCACCUCUUGGCAAGACCUGCUGUCAGAUCAAAUCUGAACUACUACACUUCAGGUACACAGAAGAUUGCACUGAAAAUACUCUCCUCCUGAUGAAGGAUAUUGCGGGCGGUAGGGUGAUCCUGAUUAAGGUUGUAAUGCUUCUGCCACAUUUUCCUGUUGGACACUGCGU